rnacentral:misc_RNA from 1 species
UUUGAUCCCUAUGCAUAAAAGCAUACUUUUCUUUGCCCUCAUAUUUUGCCUCACUUGCAUAGACAGACGCAAUCACCCAAACCCUAAACCACGCCCUUCCUCAAUUUAUCUAGAUCUUUACUCCCCUCUUUCCCAGAGUUCGUCAUUCUUCUUCACCACCUACUCUUCAUCUCCCUCGCCAAAUCUUGCAGCUCCAUCUGGGACCUCUCUUUGGUCUCUGCAAAUUGUGCCUUCUGCCAGUGCCUUGGCCAUUGCAUGCAGUCUCGGUUUCACAUCUUCUCUUCUUGGCUUUAGGUGUUGUAAUUUUUUGGGUAGUUACUAUUUUCUGGAUGUGUUAGUGUGUUAUGGACUUUUUGCAGAAACAGAAUCCAGAGAAAAAUAGAGAGA